ensembl:lncRNA
AAAACCUGAGGUAAAAAGUUGUUCAUGUUUGUUACAUAUUAUGAUUAUUGAAAACCUGAGGUAAAGUGUUUCAAUUAGCAGUAACAUAUUAUGAUUAUUGAAAACCUGAGGUAAAUGUUAAUUUAAGUUAGCAAUGUUAAAUGUUAGGACUAUUGAAACCCUGAGGUAAAGUGUCGCUUAAAUAAGCACAGUUAUAUAUUAGGACUAUUGAAACCCUGAGGUGAAAUGUUAUUUAAGUUAGCAAUGUUAUAUAUUAGGACUAUUGAAACCCUGAGGUAAAAUGUUGUUUAAAUUAGCAAUGUUAUAUAUUAGGACUAUUAAAUCCCUGAGGUAAAAUGUUAUUUAAUUAGCAGUUAUAUAUAAGGACUAUUGAAACCCUGACGUAAAAUGUUGUUUAAUAUUAGCAAUGUUAUAUAGCAGGACUAUCGAAACCCUGAGGUAAAUUGUGGACUAAAUUAUUACUUUUAUAACUAUUGUGAAAAGGUAUCAAAUGUGGCUACAACUGAGCACAUUACCCUUACGUUGCCCAGAUUCAUAAGGUAUAUUUUGGGUGAAAAUAAAAUUCUUUGUUCAAGUGGGGUCACGUUUAGGAAAGUGCUAUGUAUAGGAAACAUUUCCCUAUGAACAUCCCACUCGUGGUAUUUACGACUUCAGAAAUUGUGAUGCAAUAUUGACGUUGCUCAGUUUAAUAUAUCCAUUAAAGUUUAGUUAAUGCUCAAUCCUAAAUGUGAAACACUUAAGCAUAAAUUUUAUUGUACUUAAAUCCUGUAAUAGCAAUUUAUCAACACAUUUGAAGGAAGUGUUUUUAUUCAUAAUGAUUUUAUUUUUCUGUAAUUAAAAGAAUUAGUAGUCAUAUGCUAGCUAGCUAAAUCCUUUAACUCAAUUAGUACUUAGCUUUCGCUUGAUGCCCACGUUUCCCAGUUGCCUAGCAAUAGUGCUCUUACAAAUUUAAUUGUUAAUUAAGGUAAUAAUAUUGUAUAUUAGAGAUACUGGAGCUCAUAGAGAAUAAACUGUCAUUUUUAUUUUUAUUUACUCAUGUUACAUAUUAGCAAAUAAUUUUGUUUACGCUGUUGAAAAAAGUUACCGUAAAUUCGUUGGUGAAGUAGCUAAUAUUUAGGAUUUACACUACCGCUAAACGCAACCUGAACUUAUACGUGUUCCGCCAUUUUGAAAAAUGUUAACGUUGCGUUUCUCGUAAAAACACAGCGAACACAUGAAAUCAUCUAAAGCGAGCAUAAUUACUGCCCCAUUGUUUACGUUCGGAUUGAUCAUUAUACGCAUCACACUGAUGGUCAGGGACAGUGUCAGUGAUCUAUAGACUCAUCUCAAAGCCCCAUAAUUCCUCAGUCCAUUUCACUGCUGAGCACUAAAGCUGACGGGGUCAAAGGUUACCAACCUGCCAACUGGGGCAUUAACCUCUGGGUCAAUGCUGGCUCUGCAGGGCGUGUGUGUGUGUGUGUGUGUGUGUGUGUGUGUGUGUGUAUGGUUUGGUCCUUAAAUAGGAACAAUCAUGCUGAGAGAGAACCACACAGCCAGAAAGACAGAACUCUUAAGGCCUUCAGAGAGAGGAUGUUGGUGUGUGUGUGUGUGUGUGUGUGUGUGUGUGUGUGUGUGUGUGUGUGCGUGUGUGUGUGUGUGUGUGUGGUGGAGCUCAACUUUAACCCUGCUGCUCAGACAGUGUAGAUGUCAAUAACUUCUCAGCGACGUGAUGGCAGUAAGAAAUGUAUUACAAUUCUGUAAUAACUCCUUUUCUUCUCUUUUC